rnacentral:rRNA from 1 species
GAUGAACGCUGGCGGCGUGCCUAAUACAUGCAAGUCGAGCGAACAGACGAGGAGCUUGCUCCUCUGACGUUAGCGGCGGACGGGUGAGUAACACGUGGAUAACCUACCUAUAAGACUGGGAUAACUUCGGGAAACCGGAGCUAAUACCGGAUAAUAUAUCGAACCGCAUGGUUCAAUAGUGAAAGACGGUUUUGCUGUCACUUAUAGAUGGAUCCGCGCCGCAUUAGCUAGUUGGUAAGGUAACGGCUUACCAAGGCAACGAUGCGUAGCCGACCUGAGAGGGUGAUCGGCCACACUGGAACUGAGACACGGUCCAGACUCCUACGGGAGGCAGCAGUAGGGAAUCUUCCGCAAUGGGCGAAAGCCUGACGGAGCAACGCCGCGCGAGUGAUGAAGGUCUUCGGAUCGUAAAACUCUGUUAUUAGGGAAGAACAAAUGUGUAAGUAACUAUGCACGUCUUGACGGUACCUAAUCAGAAAGCCACGGCUAACUACGUG